UCUCCUGUAACUCAGUGGUAGAACGUCCGACCGGUGCGCGGAAGGCCAUUUGUUCGACUCCUAUUGGGAGAA